UACGUAGGGGGCUAGCGUUAUCCGGAAUUACUGGGCGUAAAGGGUGCGUAGGUGGUUUCUUAAGUCAGAGGUGAAAGGCUACGGCUCAACCGUAGUAAGCCUUUGAAACUGGGGAACUUGAGUGCAGGAGAGGAGAGUGGAAUUCCUAGUGUGGCGGUGAAAUGCGUAGAUAUUAGGAGGAACACCAGUUGCGAAGGCGGCUCUCUGGACUGUAACUGACACUGAGGCACGAAAGCGUGGGGAGCAAACAGG
rnacentral:rRNA from 1 species